GACAGCGGUAGCUCAGUGGUUAGAGCAUUGGACUGUUGAUCGGAAGGUGUUGAGUUCAAAUCUCAGCACUGCCA